rnacentral:rRNA from 1 species
AUUGAACGCUGGCGGCAUGCCUUACACAUGCAAGUCGAACGGCAGCACGGGAGCAAUCCUGGUGGCGAGUGGCGAACGGGUGAGUAAUAUAUCGGAACGUGCCCAGUCUGGGGGAUAACGUAGCGAAAGCUACGCUAAUACCGCAUACGAUCUACGGAUGAAAGCGGGGGAUCGCAAGACCUCGCGCGAUUGGAGCGGCCGAUAUCAGAUUAGCUAGUUGGUGGGGUAAAAGCUCACCAAGGCGACGAUCUGUAGCUGGUCUGAGAGGACGACCAGCCACACUGGAACUGAGACACGGUCCAGACUCCUACGGGAGGCAGCAGUGGGGAAUUUUGGACAAUGGGCGCAAGCCUGAUCCAGCAAUGCCGCGUGCAGGAUGAAGGCCUUCGGGUUGUAAACUGCUUUUGUACGGAACGAAAAGACUCUUUCUAAUAAAGAGGGUCCAUGACGGUACCGUAAGAAUAAGCACCGGCUAACUACGUG